rnacentral:rRNA from 1 species
GCUUAGCCCUAAACACAGAUAUACCAACACAAUAUUAUCCGCCAGAGAACUACAAGCGAAAAGCUAGAAACUCCAAGGACUUGGCGGUGCUUCAAACCAACCUAGAGGAGCCUGUCCUAUAAUCGAUAUUCCACGCUUAACCUUACCCCCUCUAGCCAACCAGCCUAUAUACCGCCGUCGUCAGCCUACCUUAUGAAAGAAUAAAAGUAAGCAAAACAGCUAUUAACUAACACGUCAGGUCAAGGUGUAGCAUAUGGGGGGGACAGAGAUGGGCUACAUUUUCAAAACGAACAUACAAAUAACACGUUGAAACACGUGUUUGAAGGUGGAUUUAGUAGUAAGACAGAUAAGAAAAACUGUCUGAAACCUGCUCUGAAGCGCGC